GUCAUUUCUUCAGUGUAUUGUUACAGGUGAUGAAAAAUGGGUUUUGCAUCACAAGAGAACAUGAAAAAAAACAACGGUUAUUAUGUAAUGAGAGGUCAGUGCCAACACCAAAACCAGAAUUCCAUCCACAAAAAUCCUUGCUACAGGCACUUGGAAGUG